UCGGCCAGGCCAUUCAUUACAAUGUGUAA
rnacentral:piRNA from 1 species